UCCGGUGGCUGACAGGAGCUGGAGCCCGCCGCUGCCUCCUCCGGCGUGGAGUACCACUCACCCCCACACACACCGCGGGGAGGAGGAGGAGGAGGAGGAAGAGGGCGGAGGGAGCAGAGCAGCCCCCCCGCCCCAACCCCCAAGCGAUAUCGCCCUCAUCCCCCCAUGCAAUACGGGCGAUAUAGCACGGCUCCCCGCCCCGCGCUCCCACGGACAGGCACCUGCAGGUGAGAAGAAAUAUGAGCUUGGCAACACAUGACCAUCAGUGCCAGGACCCUGUGAUCUGAACUGCAUCUUCAGCUGACUUCCCAGCGGCCAGGUGCUGUUGAUCCUGUACCAUGGAGGACUGCCUUCACACUUCUUCCGAAAACCUCUCCAAGCUGGUGAGCUGGGCCCACAGCCAUGGGACCAUCUGCAGCCUCAUCCCCAACCUCAAGCACCUGCUUUCUGAGGGGGCCCAUGGCAACCUGACAGCCAUGUGGGGCUGUAGUGCUGGCCAUGCCUACCACUGGCCCCUGGCUGCCACUUGCCGGGCCGGUUCCCAGGAGCGUGUCUGCUUCCAGGACAGCCGCAGCUUCAACUCAGACAGCCCCAGCAUGCUGGGGGUGCCAUCAGAGGCUCAGGCCAGUCCCCUGGAGCGCUACCCAGGCCGGCCAGGGAAAGCCAAGCUGGAUUGCACCCGCACUCGUGACUCCUGUGACUUCUCCUACUGCAGCGAGCCGUCAGACCUGGGCGAGCCUGUGGAGGAGUAUGAGGAUGAGGCCACCCUCUUUGACAUGGUCUGUGAGUCCUCUGUCACCGACGAGGACAGUGACUUUGAGCCACAUCCGCACCGUGCUCCCACCGGCCCCCGCAAGCGGCCAGCAGCCACGGCCCAGGCCCAGGCCCAGGCUGCCGACGAGGGGGGCGGUGACGUGCUCCUCAAGAAGAUCAAGCAGGAGCUCCCUGAGGACUACUAUAUAGUGGCCAAUGCGGAGCUGACAGCCGGCGCCGAUGGGCCAGCCCUGGCCCUGACGCAGAUGUCCAAGCCCAAGACGCAGCCCCCGGCUGGGCCCUCCUGCCUAGCACCCACCAGAACUGUGCCCCAGCCGGCCGCAGGCCCUGACCCCGACCCGCCGCGCCCCUGCGCCUCCCCGCCUGGCCCGCCCCGCAUGGCCGUGCAGCGGCCACCCCGGGGACCCCUCGCCUCCCCGGCGCGGGGGGCAGGCGGUGGCCCUGUGGCUGCCCUGCAGGUGCCAGCCACCAGCUCCAAUGCCAUCACCACCGCUGGGAAACCCAUCAGCAUCCCCCUCUCAGCCCUGCAGCUGCCUGGUCAGGAGGAGCCGCCGGUGGCUUCUGAGGAGACCCUGCCGUCCAUCCCACAGCUGGCCCCGGGUGGUGAGCUGACCGGCUCGCCCUCGGUGGGCGCCGACCCUGAGGUCAGCUCCAGCCAGCAGCAGUCCCAGGCAGCGCCCACCACCACCCCCGAGGCAGCAGCGCAGCUGAUGCCAGACCAGGAUGAGAGAGCAGCAGAGCUCAGCAGGGAGCAGAAUGAGAAGACCAUUCGCAGCACACAGACUGCUCUCCGCAAUUUCCGAGAAUUCCUCAUUUCCAAGUACCCCUCUGAGACCCGUGAGAUCUAUGUCAUCCCCUGCAAAGAGCUUGAUGCCUAUCUUGCAUCCUUCUUUGUGGACGCUAGACAAAAGGAUGGGUCUGAAUAUGAGCCAAACAGUCUGGCCAACUAUCAGUGUGGACUGGAGCGGUAUCUCAAAGAGCACAGGUAUGGAUACAGUAUUACAAGGGAUAAGGAGUUCAAGAGGUCCCAGGAAGCUCUAAAGCAAAAGCAGAUAGAGCUGAGGUGUAAAGGCAAAGGAAACAAGCCACACAAAUCCAUGAAGCUUACCUUUGCUGAUGAGCUUAUCCUGCGCAAAAGAGGCUUAUUGAGCAGGUACAAUCCUGAAGGGCUUCUGAACCUAGUGUGGCUGAACAACACUAAGGCAUUUGGACACUGCACGGGUUUCCAUGGGUCCACCCUCAAGUGGGGAGACAUCCGACUGCGGGUGACAGAGACUGGGUUGGAGUACCUGGAGUGGAUGGGGCCAGACAACGGGGAUGUGAGUACCAAGAGCAAGAGAGGCGGGACGGACUCGCGGGUGUACGCCACCCAGCACUCCCCACAGACCUGCCCCGUGCAGGACUACAAGGAGUAUGCCCAGAGGCGCCCUCCGGCCAUGCGCUACGAGGAUGCGCCUUUUUACCUGUCCAUCAAACCCGUUGUCAACUUGGCUGCACUUCACUGGUACAACUGCCAAGCCCUGGGGAAAAAUAAGCUUGCCAAGAUGGUGAAGACAAUGUGUGAGAAAGGGAACAUCCCUGGCCGCAAGACCAACUUCAGUGUCUACCAGAGCUGCAGCACCCUCUCAGAAGCUCAGAGCAACCAGCUGGUGCUGAUCUGCAAUAACUUGAGCCAGCAGGCUGCCCAGUCCAUGGCAAGCCACUCUAAUACUGGCAACUUCAUAGUGUCAGCAUCCUAUGACUCAUCAUCUGACACCGCCUGAAAGAACAUCGAAACUUUUUUCUUUUCCUUUUUGUUUCAAGCAUUGAAUUUGUGCUCAAUAAUACACAUCAGCUGUGAUUGUACACUAUUCCCCCUCUCAGCCCUCUCUCCAGUGUUAAUUCACUUUAUAAAAAUAUAUAAACGUAUAAUAUAUUUUUCUUUCUACAAAUAAGUCAACAGAAAUAGUUUAGUAUUACUAACAGUAUUUAUAGUGUUAAUGCAAAAAUGGAAGGUACUUAUGGGUUAUAAUACAAAUGCAGAUUUUAAAAGGAUAGAAAUGGUUCUCAGGCAACACAAGAUAGACUGAAAAUACCAUUUUUAACAUGCACACAUUAAUGAGUGUAAAUCUCCAGGGAGGCUUACGCAGCAAUUCUGUUCUAAAGCAUUUUUUCAACUUAGUAUUGUAACAUGACCUCCCACAGUGGAGGAGACAAACUUAACAUUGGCUGCUGCUUCUUACCUGCUAGCUUAUUCUUGAUCAGCAAGACCAAGAAAUAAGAAAUGCGUCAAUGUAAGUUCACAAAACCAUUUACAGCAUUUUUGUCUGUUUUUAUUAUGUUUCCUGAGGCUCAUUUACACUACAAAAAUCCUGAAGUCAGCUAAAUGCCAUUUUUAACUUUUGGUAUGUUGAUUUUCUGGGAUCAAAAUGUUGCUGGUGUUUAGGCUAAAAAGUAUUGUUUUCAACAAUAUGCAAAAGUAUAAUGGCAAAACCAUUGUCAUACAUAAUUUCACCUCUUUAAGUAUAGGUUGUUAGUAUUUUAUCAAUGUGUGUAUGUAAUGUAAAAUCUGUUGACAUAGAGCACUCUUUCAGUAUUCUGGGAAAAUGAACAGUACAGAAAAAUCUGCAGUCUUAUCCCAGCUGUACAGAAGAAUGACGUCAACUAUGUCUUAAGCCAUCAUUUGAAAUCCACAAAACAAUAGAGAGUGUAAUUUCUACAGAUAUUUUUAAAGAAAUUCUACAGAGAGGUAAAAAGCUGGAUAGUUUUAAGUGCUGGAAUACCAAUUUAACUUAGCUACACAUCAUCUGUUUCCAUUGCAGACAAUGGAAAAUGUGCAUGUGAAUCUGAAGGCAGAAUUUGGACCUUAAAGCCUUGAAAUAACAAGUUCUACUGUUCUACUUUGUAAUGUAGUUUUUCUACUACAAGUAUGGGAAAAACAGUAACAAAUUCACUAUUUCAGUGAACAGUCAUAAGUCUUGACACUUAAAAUUAGGAACAGUACUUUUCAAGUAAAUAAACUUAGUUUAAGUUCCACAAGGAUGUGCGAGGGCUGUGGUGAGGCUUUAGAAAAGUCAGCUGGGGUAAUUGAGUUCCUCCUGAAGUCAAUGAAAGACAGCCUUGGCUGACUUCUGCUGGGUAUUGGACCAAACAGCCUUUGGAGAGGCUUUCUUGUUCUGCAGUUUUUAAUUGUUGUGUUUCUUUAUGCUUGUUUGUCUGUAUUUCUUCACAUUCCUGCAUAUCCUUCAAAUUCUUUAGAUCUGCAACUGUGCAAUGACUUUAAUCAUCACUAAUUCCAAAGAAGAGGUGAAAGAAAGGUAGCAAAUAGAAAUAGAAGUAACCCACCUAGCACUUAUAGACUUUUUUUCUGUGUUCCUAGGAUGAAAGGUUCCUGUGUGAGAGAGGGGUGGCAGAGUGUCUGCACCUCACCUAAGCCUUACUGAAGCAUAUUCAACUAAGCUCAACAAUUUAAUUCUGAUGAUGACUUCAAGUGCUGUGAGCCCCAGCACCACCAAGGCUAUCCCCGUGCCCUCAGUGUGUGGAGAUACUGGUGCAUCACCAAAGGACUCAG